UAUUGCCGUGGAUUUGAACAAUGCAAUACAUUGCCGUAAAACAAAUAAAAACUUAGUGCACAACCAUGAGGCCCAAAAUGAAGUUAUAAAGAAAUUAAGUUUAAUUAACUCUAUUAAAUUCGAAUGCGCUAAUAGAAUGUCAUUGAAAAGGUCAAGUGUUCGUCAAGUGUAUGAUGAGAAUUGCAAAAAGGCUAAAGAGUCUGCUCAUUUGGUUGAAUUUGGGAAAAUGCGAAGGCAUUUAAUAAACAUAAAAUCGGAAGCCUUGCCAAAAGCACCUCAAAAUUUCCAUGACAUAAUUUCAAUUUUUGAAAACCCAGAAAUUCGCAAGAAUUACAUAAUUCAAAAUAUGACAAUGAUUUGCCAUUCUAUCGUGGUACGGUGAUUGAAGAGGAUUUCGGUUACUCAAUUUUUGUGUCCCCUACAAUGUGUAACUCAAUAAUGAAUAUGCCUACUGGCGAACCACGUCAUUAUUUAAUAGAUGGGACUUUUGGUGUAGUACCGAUAAGUAGUUCCAAUAGCUUUAAGCAGCUGCUAAUAUUUCAUAUUGCUCAUAAUGAACAUACAUUUCCUUUUAUCUACAUUUUAAUGUCAAACAAAUCUUUGAAUGCAUAUAUCCAUGUACUACAAUACAUCCAAAGUAAUAUUUUUGACAUGAAGCCCACAACAUUCACCACGGAUUUUGAGUAUGGCUUAAGAAAAGCAUUGUCACAGAUUUAUCCACAAACAAAAUUAAAGACAUGUUGGUUUCAUUUUACACAAGCUGUUUGAAGGAAUGCUUCAAAACUUCCUAAGUUCAUGUCGAAAUUAAAUAAAGAUAAUGAUGCAAAACAAUUGUUUCGCAAAUUUCUAAUAUUACCGCUGUUAAAACCGGACGAUAUAUUAAUUGGAUACCUAAAUCUGAAAAAUCAUGCUUUGAGUUAUAAUUUAAAUAGCAUUUUUGAACAAUUCAUAGCAUAUUUCGAGAGACAGUGGAUUAAAAAGGAAGGCGCAUCAAAAUUCUCCGUUUAUAACGAAUCCAUUAAAACUACAAGCUUAAUAGAAUCGUUCCAUGGGCAAUUGGGUAAAUACCUUUCGAAAAACGGAAGUUUUUAUAAAUUGAUAGACCAUUUACUAGAUGUAGAUGUGACAAAAUCAAUUGAUUUUAAAAAAUCAUUGGACGGCAGUAUUUCAAUAUGUGUAGCAAAAUUAAAAAGGCAAAAAACGCGAGAAAAUUUGAUUAAAACUAUCUUAAGAAAUUUGGAAAAUGGUAUAAUCAGUGUGAACGACUGUCUUAGCCAGUUAAGUUAUAACUUAUAUAAUGAGGUGUCUUUGAACGCGAUUCUGGAACAAGAUAGUAUAACGACGACGACAGGUGUUGUUGAGAAUGAUGAGGUUGAUCCAAUAAUUGAUACCUUACCAUCUGUCCUGCCUGGCACCAUUGAAAAUACUUUGACAUGCAUUAUUUGUUAUGAAAAACAAAGAAAUAUAUUGUUAUUGCCAUGCAGUCAUUUUAAGAUUUGCAGUGAUUGUUAUGAAAAAUUGGACGCGGAAAAAAAAGGAAUUCUGUGUCAACUUUAUGUCCAGUGUGUCGGACCAUUGUUUAAGAAGCCAAAAACAUUUUUGUCUAAUUUUCUUUCGUUUAUUUUGAUUUGGGGUUCUUUUUUUGAAUUAUUAUUAUUCCAUUAAUUUUUCUUAAUAUGAAAAUUUGUUGUUGAAUUAUUAAUGUUCUAUUAAUUUUGUUAAUAUAAAAUUCUUUUUCUGAAUUAUUUAUGUUCUAUUAACUUUGGUUAACGUGAAA